CCUACGGGAGGCAGCAGUGGGGAAUAUUGCGCAAUGGGCGAAAGCCUGACGCAGCGACGCCGCGUGAGGGAUGAAGGUCUUCGGAUCGUAAACCUCUGUCAGCAGGGAAGUACGGUCACUGUGCUAAUCAGCAGUGAAUUGACGGUACCUGCAAAGGAAGCACCGGCUAACUCCGUGCCAGCAGCCGCGGUAAUACGGAGGGUGCGAGCGUUAAUCGGAAUUACUGGGCGUAAAGCGCUCGUAGGCGGUAUGUCAAGUCAAUGGUGAAAGCCCCGCGCUCAACGUGGGAACUGCAUUUGAUACUGGCAAACUGGAGUGUGUGAGAGGAUAGUGGAAUUCCAGGUGUAGGAGUGAAAUCCGUAGAUAUCUGGAGGAACAUCAGUGGCGAAGGCGACUAUCUGGCACAUCACUGACGCUGAGGAGCGAAAGCGUGGGUAGCAAACAGGAUUAGAUACCCCUGUAGUC
rnacentral:rRNA from 1 species